rnacentral:rRNA from 1 species
GACGAACGCUGGCGGCGUGCUUAACACAUGCAAGUCGAACGGAAAGGCCCUGCUUUUGUUGGGUGCUCGAGUGGCGAACGGGUGAGUAACACGUGAGUAACCUGCCCUUGACUUUGGGAUAACUUCAGGAAACUGGGGCUAAUACCGGAUAGGAGCUCCUGCUGCAUGGUGGGGGUUGGAAAGUUUCGGCGGUUGGGGAUGGACUCGCGGCUUAUCAGCUUGUUGGUGGGGUAGUGGCUUACCAAGGCUUUGACGGGUAGCCGGCCUGAGAGGGUGACCGGCCACAUUGGGACUGAGAUACGGCCCAGACUCCUACGGGAGGCAGCAGUGGGGAAUAUUGCACAAUGGGAGGAAGCCUGAUGCAGCAACGCCGCGUGCGGGAUGACGGCCUUCGGGUUGUAAACCGCUUUCGCCUGUGACGAAGCGUGAGUGACGGUAAUGGGUAAAGAAGCACCGGCUAACUACGUG